UACGUAGGUGGCAAGCGUUGUCCGGAUUUACUGGGCGUAAAGAGCGCGCAGGCGGUCGUUCAAGUCGCGUGUGAAAGCCCCCCGGCUCAACUGGGGAGGGUCACGCGAUACUGAUCGACUCGAAGGCAGGAGAGGGAAGUGGAAUUCCCGGUGUAGUGGUGAAAUGCGUAGAUAUCGGGAGGAACACCAGUGGCGAAGGCGACUUCCUGGCCUGUUCUUGACGCUGAGGCGCGAAAGCUAGGGGGAGCAAACGGGAU
rnacentral:rRNA from 1 species